ACGAGGAAGGGCGUAGCAAGCGACGAAAUGCUUCGGGGAGUUGAAAAUAAGCAUAGAUCUGGAGAUUCCCAAAUAGGUCAACCUUUUGAACUGCCUGCUGAAUCCAUGAGCAGGCAAGAGACAACCUGGCGAACUGAAACAUCUUAGUAGCCAGAGGAAAAGAAAGGAUAAUG
rnacentral:ncRNA from 1 species